rnacentral:rRNA from 1 species
CAAUAGCGUAUAUUAAAGUUGUUGCAGUUAAAAAGCUCGUAGUUGGAUUUCUGGUCGGAAGCUCCUGUCCUCUGAUGAGCGUACAAGUGCGUCCUACCAUCCUUCUGUUAACCUUUAAGGCUUUCGCGGCUUUCUAGGGGCUCAGAUAUUUUACCUUGAGAAAAUUAGAGUGUUUCAGGCAGGCUAGCGCCGGAAUACAUUAGCAUGGAAUAAUGGAAUAGGACUUUUGCCUCUUCUGUUGGUCAUGAGGCUCGAGUAAUGAUUAAUAGGGAUAGUUGGGGGCAUUAGUACUUAACUGUCAGAGGUGAAAUUCUCGGAUUUGUUAAAGACUAACUUAUGCGAAAGCAUUUACCAAGGAUGUUUUCAUUAA